rnacentral:rRNA from 1 species
GUAGUCGGUCCCAAGGGUUUGGCUGUUCGCCAAUUAAAGCGGUACGCGAGCUGGGUUUAGAACGUCGUGAGACAGUUCGGUCCCUAUCCGUCGUGGGCGCAGGACAUUUGAGGAGAUCUGACCUCAGUACGAGAGGACCAGGUUGGACGAACCACUAGUGCACCUGUUGUCGCGCCAGCGGCAUCGCAGGGUAGCUAUGUUCGGACUGGAUAACCGCUGAAAGCAUCUAAGCGGGAAGCCAACUCCAAGAUUAGAUGUCCCGUUCGUAAGAACCUAAAGGCCCCUUGAAGACUACAAGGUUGAUAGGCCAGAGGUGUAAGCAUGGCAACAUGUUCAGCCGACUGGUACUAAUAGGCCGUGAGGCUUGAUUCU